AUUGAACGCUGGCGGCAGGCCUAACACAUGCAAGUCGAGCGGAGCGGCGGACGGGUGAGUAAUGCCUAGGAAUCUGCCUGGUAGUGGGGGAUAACGUCCGGAAACGGGCGCUAAUACCGCGUACCAUAGGAUGAGCCCAAGUGGGAUUAGGUAGUUGGUGAGGUAAAGGCUCACCAAGCCGACGAUCUCUAGCUGGUCUGAGAGGAUGACCAGCCACACUGGGACUGAGACACGGCCCAGACUCCUACGGGAGGCAGCAGGGGGGAAUCUUCCGCAAUGGACGAAAGUCUGACGGAGCAACGCCGCGUGAGUGAUGACGGCCUUCGGGUUGUAAAGCUCUGUUAAUCGGGACGCGGUACCGGAAUAGAAAGCCACGGCUAACUACGUGCCAGCAGCCGCGGUAAUUC
rnacentral:rRNA from 1 species